GGUUAAGCGACUAAGCGUACACGGUGGAUGCCCUGGCAGUCAGAGGCGAUGAAGGACGUGCUAAUCUGCGAUAAGCGUCGGUAAGGUGAUAUGAACCGUUAUAACCGGCGAUUUCCGAAUGGGGAAACCCAGUGUGUUUCGACACACUAUCAUUAACUGAAUCCAUAGGUUAAUGAGGCGAACCGGGGGAACUGAAACAUCUAAGUACCCCGAGGAAAAGAAAUCAACCGAGAUUCCCCCAGUAGCGGCGAGCGAACGGGGAGGAGCCCAGAGCCUGAAUCAGUGUGUGUGUUAGUGGAAGCGUCUGGAAAGGCGCGCGAUACAGGGUGACAGCCCCGUACACAAAAAUGCACAUGCUGUGAGCUCGAUGAGUAGGGCGGGACACGUGGUAUCCUGUCUGAAUAUGGGGGGACCAUCCUCCAAGGCUAAAUACUCCUGACUGACCGAUAGUGAACCAGUACCGUGAGGGAAAGGCGAAAAGAACCCCGGCGAGGGGAGUGAAAAAGAACCUGAAACCGUGUACGUACAAGCAGUGGGAGCACGCUUAGGCGUGUGACUGCGUACCUUUUGUAUAAUGGGUCAGCGACUUAUAUUCUGUAGCAAGGUUAACCGAAUAGGGGAGCCGAAGGGAAACCGAGUCUUAACUGGGCGUUAAGUUGCAGGGUAUAGACCCGAAACCCGGUGAUCUAGCCAUGGGCAGGUUGAAGGUUGGGUAACACUAACUGGAGGACCGAACCGACUAAUGUUGAAAAAUUAGCGGAUGACUUGUGGCUGGGGGUGAAAGGCCAAUCAAACCGGGAGAUAGCUGGUUCUCCCCGAAAGCUAUUUAGGUAGCGCCUCGUGAAUUCAUCUCCGGGGGUAGAGCACUGUUUCGGCAAGGGGGUCAUCCCGACUUACCAACCCGAUGCAAACUGCGAAUACCGGAGAAUGUUAUCACGGGAGACACACGGCGGGUGCUAACGUCCGUCGUGAAGAGGGAAACAACCCAGACCGCCAGCUAAGGUCCCAAAGUCAUGGUUAAGUGGGAAACGAUGUGGGAAGGCCCAGACAGCCAGGAUGUUGGCUUAGAAGCAGCCAUCAUUUAAAGAAAGCGUAAUAGCUCACUGGUCGAGUCGGCCUGCGCGGAAGAUGUAACGGGGCUAAACCAUGCACCGAAGCUGCGGCAGCGACGCUGAUGCGUUGUUGGGUAGGGGAGCGUUCUGUAAGCCUGUGAAGGUGUGCUGUGAGGCAUGCUGGAGGUAUCAGAAGUGCGAAUGCUGACAUAAGUAACGAUAAAGCGGGUGAAAAGCCCGCUCGCCGGAAGACCAAGGGUUCCUGUCCAACGUUAAUCGGGGCAGGGUGAGUCGACCCCUAAGGCGAGGCCGAAAGGCGUAGUCGAUGGGAAACAGGUUAAUAUUCCUGUACUUGGUGUUACUGCGAAGGGGGGACGGAGAAGGCUAUGUUGGCCGGGCGACGGUUGUCCCGGUUUAAGCGUGUAGGCUGGUUUUCCAGGCAAAUCCGGAAAAUCAAGGCUGAGGCGUGAUGACGAGGCACUACGGUGCUGAAGCAACAAAUGCCCUGCUUCCAGGAAAAGCCUCUAAGCAUCAGGUAACAUCAAAUCGUACCCCAAACCGACACAGGUGGUCAGGUAGAGAAUACCAAGGCGCUUGAGAGAACUCGGGUGAAGGAACUAGGCAAAAUGGUGCCGUAACUUCGGGAGAAGGCACGCUGAUAUGUAGGUGAAGUCCCUCGCGGAUGGAGCUGAAAUCAGUCGAAGAUACCAGCUGGCUGCAACUGUUUAUUAAAAACACAGCACUGUGCAAACACGAAAGUGGACGUAUACGGUGUGACGCCUGCCCGGUGCCGGAAGGUUAAUUGAUGGGGUCAGCGCAAGCGAAGCUCUUGAUCGAAGCCCCGGUAAACGGCGGCCGUAACUAUAACGGUCCUAAGGUAGCGAAAUUCCUUGUCGGGUAAGUUCCGACCUGCACGAAUGGCGUAAUGAUGGCCAGGCUGUCUCCACCCGAGACUCAGUGAAAUUGAACUCGCUGUGAAGAUGCAGUGUACCCGCGGCAAGACGGAAAGACCCCGUGAACCUUUACUAUAGCUUGACACUGAACAUUGAGCCUUGAUG
rnacentral:rRNA from 1 species